rnacentral:lncRNA from 1 species
AGCCAUCAUGGUAGGGUGUCCAGGGUGAGGGGAGGGUGGUGUGAAUCCCCAGUAAUGCAGGUCCUUUCCAGGCCAGGCCCCUGGUCCCCAGGAGUGCGGGGAUGCCUGAGGUCUACUGCUGCCUUAUCCAGAGCUGCCAUCCCCGGCGAUGACUCAGAGUUCCUGUGGCCCCAGCAUCAUCCCUCCAUCCCUGGCUGUGAGGCAGGAGCAGAGUUGCAGACCUGAGAGGCCUUGAAUUUGUUUGAUAUAGGACUUUGCCACCAGACAAAGUGCUUUGCCUGUGAGGUCUGGCUUGGCCUGGCCUCUGAGAAAGAACAAACACAGACCUCACUGGAAGGAACCUGGAGAACGGGAGAGGAGAGGCUGCUGCUGUCUGCCCUCCCAGCAGCAGAUAUAAAGACAAUGGGCUUCUAAGUCCCCUAGAGUCCCAGCUGUGUAAUUUAAGGAAGGAGCAUGGAGAAGACAAGAACAAGGCUCUCAGAAGGAAAUGGUGUGGCUGGAGCCAUGAGAACUGGUUGUGGAGGGGGUGAGGAAGGCAAAUAUAAUUUCUGACCUACGUAAUGAUGUAUGCACAAGAAGCCUCUCUUGAAUGUAUUAAUUCAGUAAACAGUUAUGGAGUCCUUACAAUGUGCUAGUGGGACUUUGAAGAUGAAUCCAAAUUUGGAUCCUGGCCUGGAAAGGCUCAAAGCCCAAUAUGGGAGCCUGGAUACAAAUGUGAAACUUAUCUUCUUUUAUUAACCAAUCAAUCACCUCCUGCCAAAACAACAUCAGCAAAAACAACAGAAAAAAACAAAAACAAAAACAAAAACAAAUCUGUGUACACAAGACCUUUGUUUCCACAGCAGACUUGGCUAAAGGUUUGGGCAUGCAUAUGCAUACCCC